rnacentral:rRNA from 1 species
AGUGAACGCUGGCGGUAGGCCUAACACAUGCGAGUCGAACGGCAGCACAGUAAGAGCUUGCUCUUACGGGUGGCGAGUGGCGGACGGGUGAGGAAUACAUCGGAAUCUACUUUUUCGUGGGGGAUAACGUAGGGAAACUUACGCUAAUACCGCAUACGACCUACGGGUGAAAGCAGGGGAUCUUCGGACCUUGCGCGAUUGAAUGAGCCGAUGUCGGAUUAGCUAGUUGGCGGGGUAAAGGCCCACCAAGGCGACGAUCCGUAGCUGGUCUGAGAGGAUGAUCAGCCACACGGGAAAUGAGACACGGUCCAGACCCCUACGGGGGGCAGCAGGGGGGAAAAUUGGACAAGGGGGGAAAGCCUGAUCCAGCCAUUCCGCGGGGGUAAAGAAGGCCUUCGGGUUGUAAAGCCCUUUUGUUGGGAAAGAAAAGCAGCAGGUUAACACCCCGCUUUUCUGACGGGACCAAAAGAAUAAGCACAGGCUAACUUCGU